GCAGGUUGAAGCGCGGGUAAGACCGCGUGGAGGACCGAACCCACCUGGGUUGAAAACCGGGGGGAUGACCUGGGGCUAGGGGUGAAAGGCCAAUCAAAUUCCGUGAUAGCUGGUUCUCUCCGAAAUGCAUUUAGGUGCAGCGUCGGUCGAUUGCGUCGCGGGGGUAGAGCUACCGGAUGCUUGCGGGCCCUUGUUGGGUACCAACAGCAGCCGAACUCCGAAUACCGUUGACGUGUAUUCCGGCAGUGAGUCGGCGGGGGAUAAGCUCCGUCGUCGAGAGGGAGACAGCCCAGACCGUCGUCUAAGGUCCCGAAGCGUGUGCUAAGUGGGAAAGGAUGUGGAGUCGCAUAGACAGCCAGGAGGUUGGCUCAGAAGCAGCCAUCCUUGAAAGAGUGCGUAACAGCUCACUGGUCUAGUGGUUCCGCGCCGACAAUGUAGCGGGGCUCAAGCACACCACCGAAGACGCGGCAGCAAUCUUCAUGGUUGCUGGGUAGGAGAGCGUCCUGCAUGGGGCGAAGCGGCCGGGUAACCGUGCCGUGGACCGUGUGGGAGUGAGAAUGCAGACAUGAGUAGCGAGAGACGGGUGAGGAUCCCGUCCGCUGGAUGACCAAGGGUUCCGGGGCCACGUUCGUCGUCCCCGGGUGAGUCGGGUCCUAAGGCGAGGCCGACAGGCGUAGUCGAAUGGAUGAACGGGUGGAUAUUCCCGUACCGACCAUGGACCGGCAAAACCGAGACGGUGAGUACUAACCUCCGCCUCGUGGUGGUUCCUUCCUUCGGGUUGGUUCCGCCGCGUGGUGUUGGGAGCGUAGCCGUAGUAGGUCAGCGCAGGGGUGACACGGAAUGGGAGCCGGCCGCGGAGGUGGUUUUCCGUGGUCAAGCACGCAGCCAGUCAUGUAGGCAAAUCCGCAUGGCGCGCAUGGCGAGGUGUGAUGAUGGGAGCCGUUAUGGUUCGAUAUCCGGUUGUCCAGGCCGUCGAGAAAAGCCUCGGCGUGAGGGCCAUGGCCGCCCGUACCCCAAACCGACACUGGUGGUCAGGUAGAGAAUACCAAGGCGAUCGAGCGAAUCCUGGUCAAGGAACUCGGCAAAUCACUCCCGUGCCUUCGGUAUAAGGGAGACCCACUGGGGUGAAGGACCUUGCGUCCGGAGCUUUGGUGGGUGGCACAGACCAGGGGGUAGCGACUGUUUACCAAAAACACAGGUGCAUGCGAAGGCGAAAGCCGCUGUAUAUGCACUGACGCCUGCCCGGUGCCGGAAGGUUAAGAGGAUCCGUCAAUCCUUCGGGAUGAAGCGGUGAAUUCAAGCCCCGGUAAACGGCGGUGGUAACUAUAACCAUCCUAAGGUAGCGAAAUUCCUUGUCGGGUAAGUUCCGACCUGCACGAAUGGCGUAACGA
rnacentral:rRNA from 1 species